rnacentral:lncRNA from 1 species
GUCGGUCCAACGUCAGGAGCCUGUAGUACAUUGGUUAUAUAGAUCUGUCAUUUUUUCUUCUUCUUUAAUACAUAAUUCAUAAGUUAUAAAAAUAUUACCGUUAGUUUUAUCGUUUUAAUUUUUUCUUUAUAUCGGGGCCUUUUUUAGCCGACUUUAUGGUAUAGGUUUUCCUCAUUGUUAAAUGUUGUACAUUGGACUAUAAUAAUUGCUUUAUACACCCACUUCAAUUAAAC